rnacentral:rRNA from 1 species
GACGAACGCUGGCGGCGCGCUUAACACAUGCAAGUCGAGCGAAGCGGCGGACGGGUGAGUAACACGUGAGUAACCUGCCUUCGACAUUGGGAUAGCCUCGGGAAACCGGGAUUAAUAGCAAAUGGCCUAAGAUGGACUCGCGUCCCAUUAGCUAGUUGGGGGGGAACGGCCAACCAAGGCGACGAUGGGUAGCCGGCCUGAGAGGGUGAACGGCCACCUGGGACCUGAGAAACGGUGCAAACGCUACGUGAGGCAGCAGUGGGGAAUAUUGCACAAUGGGGGAAACCCUGAUGCAGCAACGCCGGGUGCGGGAUGACGGCCUUCGGGUUGUAAACCGCUUUCAGCCAUGACGCGGUAGUGGCAGAAGAAGCACCGGCUAACUACGUGCCAGCAGCCGCGGUAAUUC